rnacentral:misc_RNA from 1 species
CCUCCUUUUAGGGAGACCUAACCUACUGAAGUUUGAAAGCAAUCAGCAAAUAGAACGCAGUAAGGUCAUCUCGAAGGUCGUGCGAGGGGGAGAAACGGGAGUCACUUUCAAAUUUAGGUUCGUGGACAUGGGCUAUUAGCUCAGGUGGUUAGAGCGCACCCCUGAUAAGGGUGAGGUCCCUGGUUCAAGUCCAGGAUGGCCCACUUAUCAACCGUUGAUAAUCAUCAAUUGUUGAUAUCAAUGGGGGUAUAGCUCAGUUGGUAGAGCGCCUGCUUUGCAAGCAGGAUGUCAGCGGUUCGAGUCCGCUUACCUCCACCAAAACCACGAAAUAAUGAAACGAACUCAGCAUCAACACCAUAGUCUAAGAAAAAGACAAAAGAUGUUGUUGAAUGCUGGAAGAGAUUUCAGCAAAGCACCUUGAAAACUGCACAAAAAAAUAUUAGAUAGUCGAAAUAAUAGCUAGGUAGGAAAGUACGAAAGUACAAACAAUCCAAAAAUAGCCAAGAGUCUGACCUCGAAAAAAGGUCAAGCUACAAAGGGCUAACGGUGGAUACCU